rnacentral:lncRNA from 1 species
AUGAAUGAAGGACAGCGCAAAAGAGUGGGAAAGGGAGAGAGGAGGAGAGGACAAAAGAGUGGGAAAGAGAGGGGACGAGAACGCAGGAGAAUGGGAAAGGAAGAGAGGAAUGGAGUGCAGAAGAGUGGGAAAGGGAGGGGACGAGAGCGCAGGAGAAUGGGAAAAGUAGGAGACAAAAGCGCAGGUGAACAGCAAAGGAAGAGAGGGAACGAGAGUGCAGGAAUGGGAAAGGAAGAGAGGAAUGGAGUGCAGAAGAGUGGGAAAGAGAGGGGACGAGAACGCAGGAGAAUGGGAAAGGAAGAGAGGAAUGGAGUGCAGAAGAGUGGGAAAGGGAGAGGGAACGAGAGCGCAGAGGGCGAGAACGAGGGAGUGGGAAGGACAGUGCGAGACGGUGGUAGAGAUGAAGAAAAGGCACCGAGAGCGGAGCGCGCACAGAAAAGAAGCCGGAGAGCCGCAGAUCAGCAGCCUCAGACCUGAGUAACCACCUCCCUAUACAACUUGAUCCUCCUCCAACCUUGCUUUCUCAGCCUCCCUACGUUUUCCCAGGGGUUCCCUGCCUCACCAACACCAGUGCCAGCGUGGCGCCUUCGCCUCUUUCCUACCCCAAAGCUUUGCUCCCUGCCCACCUCAGUGCCAUCAGCUCUACAGCCAGUGCCGUGCCUGUCAGAGAAGACCGAACUCCAUCUACCUCCACCAGCCACCCUUCUGCAUUCACGACUCUUCGCAUGAGAAGCCCUGCUGGCCCCUCACAACAGAACAACCAAAGGCUUGUGUCAGAAGCCUCCAACAGUGUGGUUUCUGGAAGCGGAGUGGCCUGGCUUCCUAGUGAUGGGGCUUUGGGGAGCAGCCUUGGCCUUGCUCUCUUUGGUGUGGGCCAUGGGAGCAAGGCAUUGUUUCAGAGCUUAGUGGAAGAAGACAGCUGCUGCUUGCUCUAUGUUGUUGAAAAUCAGCUGUCAGGGGUCGAGCAGGCCUUCAGAUCAGACCGUUUGGUGAACACCCGCGUGCUUCGGGAACAAGAUGCUGACUUGUACUUAACGAUCAGCGGUAUGGUUACCAGAAACUCCAGGGCGUGCUUGUUCCUGGGGCUGUGAGGGUGCCAUUGCCUCUUGUGGUCAGUGGCAUUUCCGGGGACCGGACCAAACCGAGUCCUGGGAGUCAGCAUUUCUUACUCUUUAUUCACUUGUAAUCUGGCUGCUAAACCAACAGAUCAGGAUUGGUCCUCUUGUCAGUGGUCUCAAUUCCCUGUGGCUCCCAAAGACCACUCUUUGAGCAGUGGAGAUGCAGCUUAGCAGAUUCUCUGUUAUUCAUGGAGCUGUCAUGGGGCCAGCAGUGAAUCAGGACCCCCUGCCCAAUUUUUUGGCCUGUCUGACUGUGCCAGUGUAGCUAUAGAUCCAGCCUGUGCCAUUGGCUUCUCUGUGCCUUAUUUCCUUCUUUUCUUGGCCUGUCACAUUUUGAGAUUUAGUAGAAACAAUAAGUC